rnacentral:tRNA from 1 species
UGGCUCGGUGGUAGAGCGCUUGCCUUGCAUGCAUGAGGCCCUGAGUUCGAUUCCUCAG